UUUUACCUACAUCUUAUGUAUAAAUGUUAAAUAUGUAAAAUAACGUUACUACUAACAUUAUAGACUACUUUACAUGCAAAGUUGGUAAUACACCAAGGUUUAUCAUUCAAAUGAAACACAUUUUUUGAAAAACUAUAAUAGGUAUAGUUUACGAGAUAUUCAUGAUAGUUUUACAUAUUAUAAACAAAAGAGGAAAUACUUAUAUUCACAAGAAAAAUGGAAUUUUCAUACGUAAACCUGUUGAUACUAAAUUUUGUGAGACAUCUGACUUCAUCGAACCUUUCAGUUCGCGGAUUAACUCCUGUUUUAUAAGUCAUAAUCUCUUGUAGAGAGAGCAUGAUACUUGUGUACCGGCAGGUCUGGGGUGACAAAUGUCAUAUCAUUCCAACGUCUGAAGAACGUUGUAACAAGCAGUCUGGUCAAUAGUACGGUUAUAAAACUCACAUGAAAUAUUAAAACACUUGAUUUACAAGGCUAUCAAACACCUUAGUGAUUAUAUAUAUAUUACGUGUUUGUCCCUAACUGGUUUUUUUUAACUCGGAAGGUCCCUGUCCGAUCUAAAAAGACUAUUAUGCCCUUAUUAAUUUCUUUUUUUAAUUAAUUUUAUUAUUUCCUUUUAUUUAUUUAUCAUUUUUAAUUAGAAAACAAAGAAUAAAAAAAACCAACACACCCCGUUUUAUGACUUUAUCCCUACCCACUCCUUUGUCGGUUCCUCCCCAAACACUUCUCUUCUACUUCUCUUCUCUGAUAACCAUAACAACUGUGGCUUUCCGGCGAGAGACCCUACCCCACCAGUGACCGGUAAGCUUUCUUCCUUUCAUCAUCUCUUAUCCGUUCGAAGUCCAUUGAUUUUUGUGGAGCAAUCAGAUAUUUGUCAAAGGUUAAAGUCGUAAAUUUCGCACGUGUUGGGGGCUCGACGGAUUUUGUUAAUUACAAAAGGAGAAGCAACGGAGGUAAGUUUGAUUUUCAUAUCAGUUCAUUAGGGGAUUUGAUUUUACAAAGAUAGAGAAAUGUCUAAAAUCGAUUUUGGUAGAGAAUUUGGGUUUUCAAGUUGCAGAUUUUAUGGUUCAUCGAGCUGUAGAUUUGGGUUUCAUUUGAUAAAAUUGCAGAUUUUCAGAAACCGGUGAUGGGUGUGGUGUUAAGCGCCGACGAUGAAGGAGUGGGAAGUACCAAAGAUGAAGCUCGGAAGCAAAAGGAAGCAAGAGAAGCGGUUAGGAGCUCGAGAGUGGAAUGAAGAAGGAAAAAACACUAAAGAAAACUUCUACUCGUCGAGUCAGAUAGUUACUCGACGAGUCCGGUCGAGGAAUCAGAAGGAUAAUGACUCGGGAUCCCAGAUAGUUAUCGCAAUACGGGGAAUGUGAGAGGGACUCGACGAGUCACCACUUGACUCGACGAGUCGGACCGCUUAUUUCAAGAUAAUUCCACAGAUCGAGAGGAGAGUUUGGGGGAACGAUUCAGAGAGGUUUUGCUGCGAUUGAGAAGCCAGAAGACCCUUAGAGAUCGUCAAAGCGAGCUAGAGUUCAAUUCCGAAGGAGCAUUGAGGCAAAAUUUAUCAUACUUCUUAAAUCUUUGUGUUUAGUUACUAUGUUUGAACAUUUAGAUUCUGUUUGUUUGCUGAAUUUUAUUUCAAUGAUGAGCUAAACCCUUUAAACUUCUA